GACGAACGCUGGCGGCGUGCUUAACACAUGCAAGUCGAACGGGAAGGCCCUGCUUUUGUGGGGUGCUCGAGUGGCGAACGGGUGAGUAACACGUGAGUAACCUGCCCUUGACUUUGGGAUAACUUCAGGAAACUGGGGCUAAUACCGGAUAGGAGCUCCUGCUGCAUGGUGGGGGUUGAAAAGUUUCGGCGGUUGGGGAUGGACUCGCGGCUUAUCAGCUUGUUGGUGGGGUAGUGGCUUACCAAGGCUUUGACGGGUAGCCGGCCUGAGAGGGUGACCGGCCACAUUGGGACUGAGAUACGGCCCAGACUCCUACGGGAGGCAGCAGUGGGGAAUAUUGCACAAUGGGCGGAAGCCUGAUGCAGCAACGCCGCGUGCGGGAUGACGGCCUUCGGGUUGUAAACCGCUUUCGCCUGUGACGAAGCGUGAGUGACGGUAAUGGGUAAGAAGCACCGGCUAACUACGUGCCAGCAGCCGCGGUGAUACGUAGGGUGCGAGCGUUGUCCGGAUUUAUUGGGCGUAAAGGGCUCGUAGGUGGUUGAUCGCGUCGGAAGUGUAAUCUUGGGGCUUAACCCUGAGCGUGCUUUCGAUACGGGUUGACUUGAGGAAGGUAGGGGAGAAUGGAAUUCCUGGUGGAGCGGUGGAAUGCGCAGAUAUCAGGAGGAACACCAGUGGCGAAGGCGGUUCUCUGGGCCUUUCCUGACGCUGAGGAGCGAAAGCGUGGGGAGCGAACAGGCUUAGAUACCCUGGUAGUCCACGCUGUAAACGGUGGGUACUAGGUGUGGGGUCCAUUCCACGGGUUCCGUGCCGUAGCUAACGCUUUAAGUACCCCGCCUGGGGAGUACGGCCGCAAGGCUAAAACUCAAAGGAAUUGACGGGGCCCCGCACAAGCGGCGGAGCAUGCGGAUUAAUUCGAUGCAACGCGUAGAACCUUACCUGGGUUUGACAUGGAUCGGGAGUGCUCAGAGAUGGGUGUGCCUCUUUUGGGGUCGGUUCACAGGUGGUGCAUGGCUGUCGUCAGCUCGUGUCGUGAGAUGUUGGGUUAAGUCCCGCAACGAGCGCAACCCUUGUUCACUGUUGCCAGCACGUUAUGGUGGGGACUCAGUGGAGACCGCCGGGGUCAACUCGGAGGAAGGUGGGGAUGACGUCAAGUCAUCAUGCCCCUUAUGUCCAGGGCUUCACGCAUGCUACAAUGGCUGGUACAGAGAGUGGCGAGCCUGUGAGGGUGAGCGAAUCUCGGAAAGCCGGUCUCAGUUCGGAUUGGGGUCUGCAACUCGACCUCAUGAAGUCGGAGUCGCUAGUAAUCGCAGAUCAGCAACGCUGCGGUGAAUACGUUCCCGGG
rnacentral:rRNA from 1 species